GGCAGGGUGUGCAGUAAACAAGGGCUAACCAGAUGGUACCCUUUCCUUCUGACAAUGCUGUGAGCUCGACAAAAAUAGGAAGGCUAACUCCGGAUCCUUUAAACUUGAAUAUUCUUAUGCUGGGAGGCAUCAGCAUUGGGCCGGAGCGGUGAAUCACUUGAUAGGAAUGAACGACAUUUCCUUCUUCAUCCAGCGGCUGUCAAACCGGACUGCAAGUGUAAAACAAAUGGGUGUUCUCUCGCGUCAGGGAGGAAUGCACCCUGUGCAGAGGGCCCAGUACAGGCCAGUGCAUCUCUUAUGUCCUCAAAGGAACAUCUAAGCCCCUGACCCAGCAAAAGCAUUUAAACAUGUGCUGAUCUUUUUAAGUAUGAGACUAGCCCCAUUAAUUUUGCUCCUGUCAAGAUAUAUGGAGACCCAAUCUGCCUUUAGGAAGGGAUCCUGGUUAGAGAAAGCAGCUACAGCUAAGCCCGCAAACAGGCCUCCGUGGUGCCCGAAAUCCAGCCUGCCCUACCUAAUCGAACUUGGGGUUGUGCCCACUUCACGGUGCACAGAGGCUAGUAGCUAACUAGUGUGCUGCAGGGCAAUAUAUUGCUAUAAGGUUUGUGUGCGUGUGAGAAAGAGAGAGAGGAAUUGAGGACCCACUCAUUGCAUGCAUAUUCAGUGGCUAGGAAUAAUAUGGUGACUGCCUGGGCGCAUUGAGGGGCCCUGCGUGGUUGUAUCAUGGGGUGUCAUAUUUAUACGAAUAGGAACUAUUCCCAUUUUCACCCUUACAGAAUCAGUGACUUGUCUUUUGAAUCUCUCAUUUACUUUGGUUCACAUUAGUCACUGUCACAGCAGAGCCUGUAUUAAAAAUAACAAGUGCACUCAAUCAGUCCCCAAGCCCCAAACAUCCCCAAGUAAAUCCGGUACAACUCACCGUUAUGUGAGGAGCCACUUAAUAAGAUGUUAUAAUGCAGCUAUCAGUUUUUUCUCAACUCAGGUGCAUAUAGAGGGAAUGCAUCUGAGUGAGCAACUACACUCGGGGCUAAACUGUGCCUGUGGUAGGGUGUAAAAAAAGCACCACCUCCGCUUGGGAGACGCUUUAUUCAAAAGGCACUGCACUGCCUCCUUCUUGAAGGUAAAUAAUUUCCAGCUGGUCAGAAAGAUUGCAAAGAACUUAACAAUUCCAGUUCAUCCAAAAUGCAACAUUUAAGAGGAAAUGUGCAUAUCUCAAUGACCUUUCAUUUAGAAAGAAGCUGCCAGGGUUUGGGCAAUAAGUCAUCUGUAGAAGAUGCAUCUAAAUAGCUCUUACCCAAACCAGGUCUUUCAGAAACAUCAGCUCCAAAACUCACAAUUUUCAAAAUACCGGUAAUUAUGGGCAGCUUCCAAGAUCUCAGAGUGGUCCGUGUGCAUUUUUCAAUUACUUAUUGUCCAGUGCUUUGAAAAUGUCUAUUAUAAUGUAUCAGUAACAGAUCAAGUAGCUCCUUAGACUGCAAGUUCACAAGGCCCCAUGCUUGUCCUUGAAAUUUGUUGCCUGUAGCAGGCACCCACAGUAAUAACAGCAAAAUAAAGGUCUCAUCUUUGCAUAGAAAGAGACAGAGGAAUGGGAAAAGGAAAACUCUUUAAUCAGAAAGAUGUCAUCCAGGAAACAGCAUGUCACCAGUUUUGGCGCGGAUAUGGUUCUUUUUGUAACGCACCAUUUUAAUUACGUAUAAGCUGUCUUAUUACUUUAGUCAAUUUGUCCUGGAUUGGGAAAGCUUCCCCUUGACAAUGUCAUAGGUCUUGAAGAUGUCACUUUUAAUUUCUCUGUGGCUCAGCUCACUAACUGCAACAAUACUUCAGCUGCCUAGUUAGUCUGUAGGCUCCUCAAGGCAGGGACUGCCUUUUACACAGCACCUGGUGCAAGGAAGUCCUGAUGAGCGGGAGCCUCUGUAUGCUGCUGUAACACAAAAUAUCAUCAUAAAGCAAGGUCUGAUUGUCUCAAGGUAGGAAGGGGCUCCCACAACAGUCAAUGACUGGUAGGAUGUGGUGAAAGGAUUGGAGUUAAAGAAGAAAAUGCAGCUCACUGGCAUGGCACAUAUUUUUCCAAUAUAAAAGCAAAUGGGGGAAUCCUUAAAUAAAUUGACUCUAUAAAAACGUCUCUUUGCAUUACUGCCUCAACCUUUUCAGGGGGAAAACCACAAAGGUUUUGUUUUCAUGGCUCCCGAAUAAAAAUAUCAUUGCUGCUUCAUAAUUUUACAGAACCAACAAACAGUCCAUAUCUAUUUAAAAUACGCAGGCGGCACAAUGUACGGGCCCCCUUUGGUAACCACCAACCGACCAACUGCAAGAGCAGCUGCCACAUAAUUACAAGCCCUCGUCACGAGUGCGGGGAAACAAGUUGUGGCAUUUAGGAAAGGUCUGCAAAAAUAGGUGUCAGACCUUAACUAAUAGUGAUUGUCCUUCCAUUCUGCUGUAAUUUACAUUUAAUUCACACGUUUCAUUUCCAUUUAAAAUAUGAUUACAGUGUUUUGAAGCACAUCUCACCUGUCCCCUCCUAUUACAGCUGGAUGAAGCUAACAAAAAGUAGCAGGAGCUAGGCAGACUACCCAAGAUCUUGGCUGUCGGAUCGUAAACGCAAGGUACCUUUCCCAGAUUGGGAGACGGGGGACGAGAACGCUUUAAAGCAUCGCAAGAGGGGAGUGAAAGACCAGAGGUGUCCUCGUAAGCUUCCCUUGCUCAUGUCCCAAUGAUAGGAUUUGUGACAUUUUCUUAUCGACUGCCCUCACUAAUAAGAGUAUUUGUACUGAUGUAGCAAUAAGAAUAUUUCAAACCCUACCAGGAGCAAGCAUGCUAUGUGAAUGCAGCUUCGCCCAGUCGGCAUCUUAGGCUGGGCAUCUCUUCUGGAGAUUUGCACCAAUGGAGCGGUCUCAUUUUUGCUGCCCUCAAUGCUUAGAGAUCCCCUUAAAAGGAAUAAAGCUAGUUUCGGGUUUUUUUGUUUUUACUUUUUAGGUUAAGUGACACAGGAAUAACAAGUACAAGAGAUAUCAGUCUAAGCUGAGACCUGAGGGUUCUGGAUUAUCUCCUCUGGGGCUGGGCAGUGCCAUCUUUUACAAGGUCCGCCUCCAUCCCCAAAAAUGGGGUUCAGCAUUUGAAGCCUUUUAAGGCCUGGCUGACAGGCUCUGUCUACACUGCAAACAAAAGUGAGAUUGCCACAGGCUUGGAUGUACCCAGGCUAACUUGAACCUUGCUAGCUCAGGGAACAAUGCGCUGAAGACAUAGAUGGCAUGUACAAGCUUGUCAUCGACUUGGGGACGUAACCAGAUGGCUGACAUUCAUACUGCAUUGUCAAUCAAGCUAGCUACAGCUAACUCGGGUAUAUCUACAAAUAGUGCUGUUGUACUUCCCAACCCCAGCGUUAGGUGCAGCCUAAGAGUAAAGUGACUUCUGAAAAGGAGAUUCAGGCAACCAACGGCCAAGGCUACUGGCAGCCACAGCAGUGAUUAUAGGGUUUGGACUCUAAGGAGGAGCCAUUCGCUGAAGCAAGAUUCAGGGACUUGGAAAUGAUCUGGUAAGCCUUUUAUUUGGAGGCAGCUGGUUAAAACCCAGGGCUGCUUGCUUGUAGUCAGCCUAGUCCUCUGUAGCCUAUGUUAUUAUCACAUUUAGCAUGUUUCUUGAGACAUCAGACAUUAGGCUUUGGCUGGGAACUAAUACUCCAUAAUUCACAUACUGGAGGUUGCUCUUUGCAAGUUGCAGCAAUUUGCACCAAUCAGUUUAAUUUUUGUUCCAACUGUACUUCCCCUUCCUAAUGGUAAGUAAUAGCUCCUAAUUGUAUACACCGUUAUCUGGCUGCUUGGGCAUCCAAAAUGAACUUUCUUUGAAGCUGCAUUUCCAUGAGUUGUUCAAAAGUAGGGAGUAAAGGGGAAUAAACAGACCGAGCGUCUGCGUUUCAUUUACCGCCCCAUUUCCACUUCAGUAGCAUCAGUAAUGACAGAACACCUUGGAAGGAGAUUUCCCCUUUAUUACUGCAAUAGCACCCAGAUGCUCCAGUGACAUCAGGACCCAACUGAGCUAUGCACUUAACACGGACCGCAAGAAGCAGCAGCGUUGGCCAGACUGAGCUUCCGAUGUGAGGCUGACACCAUUGCUAAACACAGGUGCUCACAAAUGUUUAAGAUGGGCUUAAAAUCAUGGAGGUUUAAAAAAACCCAAACCAGUAAUUUUUUGGUGUUCCAGAUUUUUUUCCAUAACUUUUCUUUCUCUUUGUGCUUCCCAGCUUAUCCACAGAAGCUAGAAAUUCACUUGAAAAAUAAAAUGGAGGCCAAGAUGCUCCCAUAAAUACCAUGACUCUAGCACUAUAGUUUUAAGAAAGACCAGGAGAUUUGGUGGGGGCUAUUUCAGUUGCCCUGCAGGUGUCUUGUCUCUGAGGAGCACCCAAGAGGUAGUCUCAAGUGGCUUGUUAGGUGUAUCGUCUUCACAUGCAAAAGCUGUUGUCAUGAUGUAAAAGAAGUAAGCACAGCUGGAGAGUUCAAGGGUUCAUUGGACCUCACAUGGAAGCACAGGGUUCGGUGCAUGGGAAUUGUAACAAAAUGCUGCUGAAGCAUUGCAUCCAGACACAGGCCCUAGUCCUGUACUAUGAGACAGGUGGAAAGUUCACACCCGGAGAAUGGAGUUCAAUAUAAGUUGUCCUUGCCUUAAUAUGGGAAACAGCAGCCUAGGAGGAACCCAGCUUGGGCAAUGGUUUAUCCAGAGAGCAUCCUGAACUCAGAGUACAACUGAGAAACUAGGUCGCCUUUCUCAUAGGAAGAAACCCAUUUAUAGGAGGUACAGCUUUCUGCUUGAUUUCGUUUGAAGGACCCCAUUGACCUACUACACAUGAUGGUGGCUUGAUUGUGUCAUUGCACAGCUGCUAGGAAGGCAAGUGUCAAUUGGGUUUCAGUCCCAGCUCACAGAGAUCUCUUCCCCACUGCACACUUACGUGAUCUGCUUUCAACACCUCUUUCUCCCUUGGCAGGUAAGAUGCUCAGAGAGAGAUGGUGAUUUUUCAUGGGAAGAUUCCAGUGAUUAGUGUUCACUGUCUAAAUCUCAGCAUCAAUUUUAAAACCACUGGAGCAUCCAUUUCAUAGCUAUGGCUGCAUUUUCUUCAACAUGGCAGCCGGCUUCUGCAAAUCCAGGUGCACAGUCAUUUGUUCUGAUUAGGCAAAGAGUUUGAAAUCUUUAAUUUGCCUCUCUUAUUUUCCCCUGUUAAUUUAAUGUAAAGGCUCUGCUUGUAGGGAAGGGGGUACAUACAUUAUCUAUGUAUUUGGGAUGAAAUAGGUCUCUGGGCAGAGUCCUGCAAAAGCACCGAGUAUGGUGACAAAAUAGAGUUUCAGUGGGGUUCGAUUUGACUCCAUACCAUAAGAUUUCAAGAUUUCUCUAAGGAGGUGACUGCCAAAUUUCUCCUUCAAGGUGGACAGCUGGUUAACUCCUUUCAAUGCUGGAGCAAAUAAAAGCCUAUUCAUACUUUAGCUCUCCCAGUUAUUUGGAGGAAUAAGCAGCUAAUGCCCCCAACUGGAACGCUUCCAUGCUUGGGUCAUCAGCAUGUAUCAAGCAUGCCCUAUGUAAUGUGACAGUCGCUUCCUUGUAUUUGCAACUCAGACCAAGUGCCUAAUGCUGUACACAUGCAGCUUCUCCGUGCCUGACAGGCGUACAAGGCUGACUUGCGUGAGGGCCUAUGUUUAGGACCAUGCUUUGGAGCGCAUCUCUUCUCUAAUCCGUUGCAGACUUCCUCAUCUCUUUUUUAGAACAAUGAAGCAAUAGUGCAAACUUCAGGCUGCCUUGUCAUAGCAUCUGUUCGUCUCAGCUUUGACAUAUCCAGUGCUAUGACUGUCUUUGGCCAACUCUGUUACACACUAGAACUAAAAGCCUAAAGCUGAGCUGGCGGGUUGCUGCUAUCCAUCAGCGGCACAGUUGCCCUUCGACAAAAACUGCAGGGAUCCCUACCAGAUCAUGCCUAUAUCCUGGGCCAAAGCAUCCAGUCUCAGCUGUUCCCAAAUGGCUUCCGAUACCCAAAGCAUCCAGCUGUGCAAAUACUUUGAAGAGGGCUCCAGUUCAUGUUUUCCUUGUUGGCCCACAAAAAGCUUCUGGAAAACAAGACCUUAGCAACCCUAUAUUACCUAAUGCAACACUGAAAUGAGACAGAGCUGUGGGAGGAGACCUGGCUUGGAAGGAGGCCUGUGGCCAGCAGCUGUCUUACUGCUGUGGUUUAGCAAUCCUUUCCUGGCAGGAGGGUUGCACAGGGUGAAAGGACAGAAUUUGGUCUGAAGACCACAAAUCCAAGCCCAAGCUUGGCCUGAAAAAUGCAGAUGUGUUACCAAUUUCCCUUAUGUGAAUGUCAAGAAGAGUGACUGUCGAGCCAUUUUAAAGGAAAGCCUCAUGUAUGGAAAGACACUGACCAUUUAGGCCCAGAGCACAAUAUACCUGAUGACUCACUGUACGGUAAAGACUUUACUGGCACGAUGCUGAUAUGGUGCGUUAGUUAUUUGUGGAGCAUGCAGAGAGGGGGAGCAGCUAUAAUUAUUAAUAUUUGUAUUGCAAUAAUACCUUAAGCUCCACCAUGGACUUGGAUCCUGUUACACUAGGCACUAUACAAACAGAGGAAAGAUAUAGCUCCCUACCCAAAAGACUAGCUCAAUGGGAACAAUGGUUUCUACAGAAUUGAAGUACAUCACUUGCAGGUCCAGAGAAAUAGAGACAUCUUGAGAUCCUUCUUUCUGUCUUUCUACGGUCCUGUAUCACUGUACAGCUCAAUGCUGCUCUUGAUUGCCAGGGCAUCAGGGAGUCCCAGUUCUGACUCUGACACUUUUGCUGCAGCCUUCACCAUGUUACUUAACUUUGCUGUGCUGAAUGAUCCCCAGCUGUGAAGUGGGAAUGAGGAGACUUGUGUACCUUGUGGAACGGCUCUGGGCCUGAAGCGGUUAAUAGUUGUAAAGUCCUUUGAAGAAGAAGAACAGCAUGGGUGAAAUUCCUCUCUCAAGACUUGCUCUGAGCACGAAUGCAGGACUUUGAUUCUGCCUAGAGCUUGUGUGGGUGCCUCCACACAGGGAUGGAGUCCAUUAUAUUAGCUGCUAUUGUAGCUGCGGCUUUGCUUUCACUGAAGCUGGGUUCCCAUAACACUGAGGAAAAGAGCAAAGGUCGUGAAUCCCCCAAAUCACCCACUGCCUAUCCAAGCUUCUCCUCUGGCUCUAACACACUCUCUGUCUUAAAGCCACCCCCUGCUGUCAGGAUCUGCUUCUCAUAUUAGAUAACCAGGCUUACCUCGAUAUAGAUAAGACAAAGCCUUCCAGACCACAGUCUGCUCGACUACAAGGAAUGCGGAAAUAAUGAACGAUGAAGGCUGGCCUAAUUUUACCUAUGACGAUGCUGGAGUUGUUAAGGGCUUGUGUAUGCUGACUGCAGCCUUCAAAGUAACGGCACCAACGGGGACCCCAAGACACAUUGGAGAAGCCACUGUUUGCUCAGCGGUGCUGGAAACCAGCUGAUGCUGUGUGGGGGCAAAAUGCGUCUGAUAGCUGUUGAGGUGCGCAGGCAUCAGGGGGUGGUAGCUGUGCCGCUAGCCAAGUCGGGGGGUUUUGCUGGCUUCACAUGGGGCAAUUCCCCAGAGUGGACAAGGUUCGGGCCAGGUUCACUGGCUCUUCAUCAUCCUCAUGACUCAGGAAAAAAAUAAGUGGUAUUGCCAAUCCCCUGAAGCUCUUUAGAGGGAGGGUUUUUUAGACACAGAAAGCCUCAUCUAGAAAAUAAAUCAGAAAUACUCUCCCAUCACCACCACUGUCCCCCUGUACUUCACAGCCCCAGCACCCACCCACAAGGAGCUGGGAAGGCAGGGGCACUCUGAUUAAUAUCUGCUACGUGUAGGGGAAAACAACAACCCUGUAAACAGUAUUAUUAACCCAUGGGCUGGCGAUAAAUCAGCGUGAGAAGGUGACCUCAGCAAUGCUGGAGUAAUCCUGUGUGUCAGGGUAAAUUUAUGAGGCCAAUUUUAUUGGCCUGUAUGACCCAGGCUCCUUGGAGAUGUUUCAGUAACAAAUCCAAUCCAUAUCAUUUAUUAGCUUUGUACAGUGUCAGCCAUAAGCAUAGUAGAGAUCCCAUUAAAACAUAUUGCUCCCUCUGCAAAGGAUGGGUACAAAUAAGCUAUUGGAUAAUUGUCAGCUACGAGGAGCUCCCAAUUAAGAAAUGGCUCAUUGUGGAUUUGCUCUCAAAUCCAUAAACUAGCUGGGGUUAGGAUUGUGGUGGGUUUUUUCUCGCCCCCUCACUCCACUUGACGACCUGCUUGAUGGCACUUGCAACUGUCCUGGAGGAAAGGAGAAGAGAUUGCCUAAUAUAAGUAAAUGAAACAGCCUGGCUUUUGGGGACAGGCUGCAGCUGGUGCUGCACUAUGCAUAAGGUGGGUCCUGGGAAGGCUCAGCUGCCUGAGCUCAUCACCCACAGAAGUCAGUGCAUUUCAGCUCCAUUGGCUUCUGCUUUUAUCCCAGGUAAGUCAGUAACCACUCCAGCUUUGGCAUGCUAACUAGAUGGCACUUCAAGCAGUUCAUUUAGGACACAAAGUUCUUCCCUUUCUUGGCCUUUUUCAGUGACAUGGUAAGGAUCUACAGCUAUAGGGCCUGAUGCACUAUUGCCCGGCGUUUUGCAACCACUGCGCCACUUGCAAUGCAGGCAGGGCCGGUCCAACCAUUAGGCGAACUAGGCCUAGGUCACCAAAACUUAUAUGCAGAACAAAAAAAAUAACAGGAUCAUUAUAAAUAACAGCCCUGGCUGGCUAUGGCUCUACCUUGGUCUAGGACCUUUGGUUCAGUAAGGAGAGAAAGACCUCUGAAAAGAUCUUAGAGGAAAGAUCACUCGCGACUCCUACCUUUUCAACCCUCAACCGGACUUAUGCCAAGAGCAUACUGCUGGCGACGCCAUCCUAAAAGAUGAACCCCUACUCCUACAGCUCGUGACACUGAUUUCUUACACCUUCAGUACAUGUGAAAGUUCAUUCAAGACUUCUUAUUUUCCUCUAUACUUGAAGUGGUGGGGGAGCCGCGGUACACAGUUUGCCUUACCCUUGGACCGGCCCUGAAUGCAGGGCAAUAUCAACAAGCCUUAUCAGCCCAGUUGUACUGCAGAAAGGAGAAUUAGGAUUUUUUUUUUUUCUUAAACAGAAACUCAGUAUUAUUUAUGGGAACUCCCCCUGCAGGACAGGAAACGGCUGGCAGGACAGGAGGCAUUUGCCGUCCCUAGGUUUUGAUAAAACGCUCUAUCUAGGAAAGGGACGGAUGCUCCUUGUGCAUGACACCCUCCCACCAAGGAGCAAUUGCACUUUCACGUGGGCACCUCCCGGAUUUGAUCUCUGCUUGCUAACCAGAGUCUGGUAGAAGCAGUUUAGGUCUGUUUGACUGUCCCUGUCAUCAUAAGGUUUACGGAUGGUUAAUUUAUUCUUUAUAGCACAGUCAUUGAUGGCUGUUAAAUCACAAAUGAGAGCCAAUAAAGGGUGAAUUGCAGCUGAAAUUACACUGUUUAUAUGACAGCAGAGUGCCGGCUAAAAGAUUCAUAUGCCGCUGAUGAAGUACGUUAUAAAUUUUAAUUACCAUAGUUUGUACAAAUGACAUGUUUGAAAUGCUAUUGAGUAAUGUGACCCUGAUAAUGAAACUAUAAAAUAAAUCAUUAACUUUCUGAAUGAGCUUUUUUAUUUCCAUGCUACAUGAAGUAAACUUUCCAAUUUAUUCCACUAUAGCCUUCUUAAAAAAAAAAAAAAGAAAGAAAGAAAAAAAAAGAAAUGUUACCAGCCACCUCCUUCACUGGAAGGGACACACUGGCACCCAGACUGGGACAGAGCUGGAAUGGAGUAUGUUGCAAUGGGCAGGAGGGAGAGCAGCCAAAGCACCAGAAGUACUAGCAGGGUCCCUCUUCUUAUUGUCAAAUGAGGAGUUCCUCCUCCAAAUACAUCUGGAUUAGCAGGGGGGAGUGCCAAGAUUGAGGCUGGAGACUGAGAAUAAAAUCUCCCCUCCCCCUCCUUCUAGAUACAGAAGGGAAGAAAAUCUUUAUUAGAGUUGGGAUGUAAUUAUAGCUCAGCCUUUGUCGUCAGUUUUGAAAUCCAAAUCAUUAAAGGCUCCCUGCGGGGCUCCCCUUGCAUCUUUUGAAGCAGGUGCCGAGGUGCCUCGUGGCCAAUCUUGCAAGAAGAGACCUGGAUAAUUCUUCUGGAUGUGACUGCCAAAGGUGAAGGAGUCAAGAGCUGCUGUGUGAGCCGGGCAGAGGAUUUCCUGGGAGCUUCCCUAGGUGAGAUGUUCCUACCAAGUGAGCCAUGCUCUGUGCUGCAAGAGGAAGAUGAAAACCUGACACACUCUCUGCCAGCCAGACCAGGAAGAAAGUUGCUUCCUGACCCCAACCCUGGUGAUCAGCUGCCCAGCCCCUUGAGACCCUGCUGGAGGUCCUGCUGUCUUAGGCACUGUACAAAUGCAUGGCGAUGGACUUCCCCAUCUCAAACGUAUCACAGGCUACUGGAUAAGACGAGCAACGGGCAGGACACAGAGAGGCCAGAUUUCAGCUCCAAGCAAUUGAUUGAAGUGUUCAGUCACCUGGACCGUAACUAAAGAACACAGGAUAUUUGUCACAGACAAGAAUGUAAUCACUUUGCACAUUGAGGGACAGGAUGAGAGAGAGCAAACUGCACAUGACAAAUACUGGUGACAUCGCUGAAUGCAGGACCGGAAGAUGCUUGGACACUGGAACGAUGAGGCAAGAUAAGCACAAGAAUAGGACAAAGCAAUAAUUGUGGACUGGAUGGCCGCAUCUCUUUCCCCUUAUUUCCUGUUGUGUUAUACUGGAACCUAGAGACCUCAGCCAUAAUCAGCCACCCAUUGUUGCUGGGGGCUACACAGACACCGCUUAGACAGCCUGAAAUCUAAGUAGACUAGGCAGAUAUAUGUCAAGGGGGAAAACAUCAGGUACAGGAGAGGAGAAAGUGAAUUGCCCAAGGUCAUGCAGAAGGUCAGUGGCAGAGCCACAGCUAGGGUCUCCUGUUUCCCAGGCCAGUGCUGUACAUCCUGGGCUGGGCUGUCUCCCUCAAAACUUAUCUCCCAUUGACUAUUUUUCCCCAUAGACCCAAAACUGUGAAGAAAAUGGGGCUGCAUCCUAUUCUUCCAUUUUUGUGCAGCUCAGACCUGCAGGUCUAACUGUAUUAACUAGCCAAUCAGAUUUCAUUAUGAGCUGAAGUAAUGCUUAUCAUUAAACCUGUAAUUUAUUUCUUCUUUAUUUCAUAAAAUGUGAAAUAUUACCAUUCUUCGGGUGCCCAGAGAGAAUGGGGAUGCUCCAUUAAGUUCAACACUGCUCCUCCAUAAGAUGCAGUAAUUAUAUGCAGCUUUUUUACUGCUAAGUUCCUACUUGCAGAUGCUAACAAAAGAAAUAAGCUUUUAAUCCAAACAUAAUUAAUAUGAAUUACCUCCACAGUACACCCUGGCUUUGCACCAUUAAACUUAAUUUUUGUUUUGCAUGAUAAUUGUGUUAUCAUUACCAUUUAUAGGAGAACUCGGGGACCUUCACUUUGUUUUCAGCCAAGACCAAAGGAACUGGAAAUGGAUAUCUAUGUGUUUGCAGCCUGAAAACUCAGGAGGGAAUUACUGGAUUUGUCCAGCCUUUGAUUUGUCUUCACAUUGCAUCAGCGAUGCAGAGUUUCUGCAACACCAUCUUCCUUUUUUUUCUCAUCGCCACUAAGUGUGGGGAGGUAGUGGUGUACUUGGACCAUUUCAGGACUCCAGUUUCAGAUGAACUUGGCCUGACUUGUGCUUACAUCUGAGCCACAUGAACUCUGCAGUUUUUAGCACAAGCCCAUGGCAUUCCCAAGGAGCUUGGCUUUGAUGGUGGGCUUGCUUAAAAGUAUUCCUUCAGUCCCCGGGAUUUCUUACAGUCCCAGCUCACUUUGUCCUACUCCCUACAAGAGGUCGCUGAACCUUGGAAGCAGGAUGGUGCUGGGGAAAGAAGCUCUAAAAGACAGCUUACCUUAGGCGGCCGCAGUACAUGCCAGUUUUUGCCUUUGUCUGCUUUAAUAAUGCAUUUUAGGACACUGCUACAGUUCAUGACUUCCCCAACAGGAGGUGCAGAACCAGCCGGUGCCUGAAGCGUGGAUGUGUGUGUGCAUCCAUGUAUGUGAAGGAAUGCUCAGAAGAAAACCCCUUCUGGAAAGGCACUUCAAAUACCAGGCCCACUGGGAGACAGCUGAGCCUAGGAAUCAUGCUUCCCCUAAUCCUGCUUACCAUAUCCCAGACAGACAGAGGUCUGGCCCAAAGCUCUUUAGUGUCUGAGGGCAUACAGUACGCAGGUAGUUGGACCCCUCUGAUAAAGCCCCCGUGAGCUAUUCAGUCAUACGUGCCAAGACUCUGACUCUCUGCUCAAGAGAUGGCAGGAGAUUAAGCAAGAAUGAAAACCCAUUUACUUUUUUAGGAAUGCAAGGAUCGGUGUGGGCAGCUGCCUCUGGGGGUCCCAGCAUGGGCAUGAACUAGAAAGAAUUUGGCCUCCACGAUAGCUAAUUCGAUAGCUAAUUUGUUUGUCUCGACCAUUCCUUGCCUGCCCAUGCCUCUGCACACUUUUCAUGAACACAAACACCCAUGUAUCCUAACUAGAUCUUCCUGUUCCUGCACUGGUCCUGCUGGCGUAGAGGGUAUGGGUUGAGGGUGACAAGUACUGGAGA